rnacentral:ncRNA from 1 species
UUAACAUUUAGGAAACCUACAAGGAUGCUUUCUCAAAUGCAAAAUCUGUUUUGUUCAACCCAAAAACAAGAGCCCAUUUUAAGAAAUUUAUAAAAAUUGGAACAGUGUUGGGACUCAAAAGAUGGUGAAUUAUGCAUAAUACAUGAGUGGGAUGAAGCCAGAGAAAACUUGGUGGAGGCCCGCAACAAUACCGAAGUGCAAAUCGUUUGUAUGACUUGAGUAUAAGAGUGAAAGACUAAUUGAAUCAUCAACUAGUUGG